rnacentral:rRNA from 1 species
UGGGGAAUAUUGGACAAUGGGCGAAAGCCUGAUCCAGCCAUGCCGCGUGUGUGAAGAAGGUCGUCGGAUUGUAAAGCACUUUAAGUUGGGAGGAAGGGCAGUAAGCGAAUACCUUGCUGUUUUGACGUUACCGACAGAAUAAGCACCGGCUAACUCUGUGCCAGCAGCCGCGGUAAUACAGAGGGUGCAAGCGUUAAUCGGAAUUACUGGGCGUAAAGCGCGCGUAGGUGGUUCGUUAAGUUGAAUGUGAAAGCCCCGGGCUCAACCUGGGAACUGCAUCCAAAACUGGCGAGCUAGAGUAGGGCAGAGGGUGGUGGAAUUUCCUGUGUAGCGGUGAAAUGCGUAGAUAUAGGAAGGAACACCAGUGGCGAAGGCGACCACCUGGGCUCAUACUGACACUGAGGUGCGAAAGCGUGGGGAGCAAACAGG